ACACAACUCUGGAGAGUCCCGUUGGAUCGGGCGCCGAAGGGGAAAAGGAUUUCUUCCGCAGAAAUCCCCAAUCUCUCAGGCAAAAGGACAGGGCCGGA
rnacentral:ncRNA from 1 species